UACGAAGGGUGCAAGCGUUAAUCGGAAUUACUGGGCGUAAAGGGUGCGUAGGCGGUUCGUUAAGUCUGUCGUGAAAUCCCCGGGCUCAACCUGGGAAUGGCGAUGGAUACUGGCGAGCUAGAGUGUGGCAGAGGGGGGUAGAAUUCCACGUGUAGCAGUGAAAUGCGUAGAGAUGUGGAGGAAUACCGAUGGCGAAGGCAGCCCCCUGGGCUAACACUGACGCUCAUGCACGAAAGCGUGGGGAGCAAACAGG
rnacentral:rRNA from 1 species